rnacentral:rRNA from 1 species
UACCAGCACCCCGAGUGGUCGGGACGUUUUAUUGGGCCUAAAGCAUCCGUAGCCGGUUCUACAAGUCUUCCGUUAAAUCCACCUGCUUAACAGAUGGGCUGCGGAAGAUACUAUGGAGCUAGGAGGCGGGAGAGGCAAGCGGUACUCGAUGGGUAGGGGUAAAAUCCGUUGAUCCAUUGAAGAACACCAGUGGCGAAGGCGACUCACUGGACACGUAUUGACGCUGAGGUGCGAAAGCGUGGGGAGCAAACAGG